AUGGCGAUGCGGCGCUCGAAGCUUAGCGCUAUGGCGAUGGCGGAGGCGGCAGACGACGGAUUUCAGUUCCUAUUAGAUCCAACCGGCAGCGGCAGUAAAUCAUUACUGGAUGGCGAAGCAAUUCAAACUUUGGUGUGCACAGCCACUGAAUCCAGCAUUGGUGAUGUGGGCGAUACAGAAGAGACAAUACAAGUAGAUGUCAACAGCACUUGCAAUGGAGUGGCCCUGUCCCUGGCAAACUCAGAACAUUCAACAAGCAAAGAUAACCCGCAAGCACCUGGCUGGACAAAGAGGUAUACAAGUGUCAAUGCGUGUUUCUAUUUCGAACAUAUGCCAACUUUGACUGGCAUGUAUGUUCCCUCAAAAAAUACAAAAGUGUAG
rnacentral:rRNA from 1 species